AUUCACGGAUGUGAACAAUGUUUGAAUGUAAUCCAUGGUGUUACUGAGAUUUUCAAAUUUCCUAUGAGCUCCACUAUCAACAAGAUGCCUUUUGAUCGUUAUUCAAGGCCCGAGGCAAACGGUUUAACGCGUUGUUUACUACAAAAACAGAACGUUGGCUCUGGUUAGGCUGACUUGGGCUCACUCACCCCCUAAACCACCGUCACAUUUAGUGAAUUACUACGAGUGUUUGUAUGCAGAUAUGGUGGAGAGGUGGAACGCAGAAUAGUGAAGAGCAAGGAGAGUAAGUUUUUA